UACGUAGGUGGCAAGCGUUAUCCGGAAUUACUGGGUGUAAAGGGCGCGCAGGCGGCCUUGCAAGUCGGAUGUGAAAGAUCAAGGCUCAACCUUGACAGGUCAUCCGAAACUGUAAGACUUGAGUGUCAGAGGGGAAAGUGGAAUUCCUAGUGGAGCGGUAAAAUGCGCAGAUAUUAGGAGGAACACCGGUGGCGAAGGCGACUUUCUGGCUGACAACUGACGCUGAGGCGCGAAAGCGUGGGGAGGCAAACAGGAUUAGAUACCCGGGUA
rnacentral:rRNA from 1 species